GGGAAAGUCUUGUACGACCAGCUCCCUCCCAACUCCCCCAGGGCAGGAAUGCAGCAAGGGUCAGAGGUUGUAGCGGUGCGAUACAAGGUGCUUUCCCUUU
rnacentral:SRP_RNA from 1 species